rnacentral:lncRNA from 1 species
CUACUCAGGCACACCCAGAAGUGUGCUCGACCCAUCACCUAGACUGCUUCCAAGGUAAUUUGACAAAAGGAAACUUCACCUCCAUACCAUGAGGACACAAAAUAUGGAGAAAUGAUCUUCGGGCACUGUUACUUCUGCCAAUUAUUUGUAUGGAAACAUUACUGGAAAGUUGGAAGGCAGCUUGGGCUGGAAGCCAUUCUAUGUGUGAAGUGGUCCCAACUCUUGGAUCCCCCUGAGCAAAUUUCUGGGGAGGUCCACAAACAGGACUUGGAGGCCAAGAAUAAUGCUUUGAAAAAACCAUGGUUCUUCAUCAUUCUCUCCAUGACUGGAUCUUCCU